rnacentral:rRNA from 1 species
CACAUGCAAGUCGAACGGCAGCGGGGGCUUCGGCCUGCCGGCGAGUGGCGAACGGGUGAGUAAUGCAUCGGAACGUGCCCAUGUCGUGGGGGAUAACGUAUCGAAAGGUACGCUAAUACCGCAUACGUCCUGAGGGAGAAAGCGGGGGACCGUAAGGCCUCGCGCGAUUGGAGCGGCCGAUGUCGGAUUAGCUAGUUGGUGAGGUAAAGGCUCACCAAGGCGACGAUCCGUAGCGGGUCUGAGAGGAUGAUCCGCCACACUGGGACUGAGACACGGCCCAGACUCCUACGGGAGGCAGCAGUGGGGAAUUUUGGACAAUGGGCGCAAGCCUGAUCCAGCCAUGCCGCGUGAGUGAAGAAGGCCUUCGGGUUGUAAAGCUCUUUCGGCCGGGAAGAAAUCGUGUUCUCUAACAUAGGACAUGGAUGACGGUACCGGACUAAGAAGCACCGGCUAACUACGUGCCAGCAGCCGCGGUAAUACGUAGGGUGCGAGCGUUAAUCGGAAUUACUGGGCGUAAAGCGUGCGCAGGCGGUUUUGUAAGACAGAUGUGAAAUCCCCGGGCUUAACCUGGGAACUGCGUUUGUGACUGCAAGGCUGGAGUACGGCAGAGGGGGGUGGAAUUCCACGUGUAGCAGUGAAAUGCGUAGAGAUGUGGAGGAACACCGAUGGCGAAGGCAGCCCCCUGGGCCUGUACUACGCU